AGUGAACGCUGGCGGUAGGCCUAACACAUGCAAGUCGAACGGCAGCACAGUAAGAGCUUGCUCUUACGGGUGGCGAGUGGCGGACGGGUGAGGAAUACAUCGGAAUCUACUUUUUCGUGGGGGAUAACGUAGGGAAACUUACGCUAAUACCGCAUACGACCUACGGGUGAAAGCAGGGGAUCUUCGGACCUUGCGCGAUUGAAUGAGACGAUGUCGGAUUAGCUAGUUGGCGGGGUAAAGGCCCACCAAGGCGACGAUCCGUAGCUGGUCUGAGAGGAUGAUCAGCCACACUGGACCUGAGACACGGUCCAGACUCCUACGGGAGGCAGCAGUGGGGAAUAUUGGACAAUGGGCGCAAGCCUGAUCCAGCCAUACCGCGUGGGUGAAGAAGGCCUUCGGGUUGUAAAGCCCUUUUGUUGGGAAAGAAAAGCAGCAGGUUAAUACCCCGCUGUUCUGACGGUACCCAAAGAAUAAGCACCGGCUAACUUCGUG
rnacentral:rRNA from 1 species